GAAGAACAGAGCACUGCAGGAGGGAUGCAAAAUGCCCUCAGGGCUGGCAGCAAGACUCAGCUUGGUUCCAGUCUGAUCUCACUGGAGCAGCUUGCUCAAAGCUAUAAUGCUGAGCUUUAGUACCAGUUGCAAGGCACUUCUCUGGGCCCUACUCCUUCCAGGUCCCUUCCCUGCCAGCACACGGAGGGUGGCUGAUUAGGGCUGCUUUCCCCCUGCGGCCUCAGCACUUGUUCAUCACCUCUGGGUGCGGUGCCUGGACUGACGCACCACAGCCCUUUCACGCUCCCCUCUGGGGCCUCCUGGGGCUGGGUAGGGAGGGCUGUGGAGGAGCAAGGCCUGACACAUGGAUCCUAUCAGUGAUCUCACUCUGACUGGCCAUCACUAAACUUCCCUUGACCUGAUGGAAACAGCCUCUGUGGGUGUGGGAUUUACACAGCCUCUAGGCCCCCAGGAUGGAGGAAGGCAACAUAAAAACAGAGCUCCUGGUUGCUGUCUCCAGGCUGAGACCACCAAGACUGCCCACAGAGAUCAUGAAUGCCAGCUCCACUCCUCAAAAAGGGACAUUGAAGGUCACACAGAGUGACACCUUAAAGUCACACAGCAAGCUGAGCAAUCACCCACACCUUUCAUCAAUCAGUCUGGGGCUGCUGGAUGCAAGCAGAGGUCUCAGGAUGGGCCCGAAACCAGUGCUGGAGUCCAGGCCACGAGCAAGGACCUUGGGGCCAAGGUGGUGUUUAGUGGACUCUUAGCAAACAGACUGGUUGAAUUUCAACAGAUUAAAAAAAAUUGGGGGACCAGGAUUGGGAUUCACUGGGGACAUUAUGUGAGGGUGGGGCUGGGAGGGAAGAGGGAGAUGAGGCUGCAGUCCCUGUGUGAUAUGGGGAGUUUCUCAACCCAGAGGUCCCCCAGUCCUCGUCCUCUCACCAUGCCCCACGCAGCACUGUCCCUACAGGUGACUGUUGCUCCUUGCUGA
rnacentral:lncRNA from 1 species